rnacentral:misc_RNA from 1 species
UUUCCGUUGGUGAACCAGCGGAAGGAUCAUUACAGAGAUCAUGCCCUCACGGGUAGACCUCCCACCCUGUGUUAUUUACGAUUGUUGCUUUGGCAGGCCGCCUUCGUGCGCUCGGCUUCGGCUGAGGUGCGCCUGCCAGAGGACCCCCAACUCUGUGUUUAGUGUUGUCUGAGUCUUAUUUAAUACGUUAAAACUUUCAAAAACGGAUCUCUUGGUUCUGGAAUAGAUGAAGAAAGCAGC